rnacentral:rRNA from 1 species
UACGUAGGGUGCAAGCGUUGUCCGGAUUUAUUGGGCGUAAAGAGCUCGUAGGCGGUUUGUCACGUCGAUUGUGAAAUCCUGGAGCUUAACUCCGGGACUGCGUUCGAUACGGGCAGACUCGAGUGUUGUAGGGGAGACUGGAACUCCUGGUGUAGCGGUGAAAUGCGCAGAUAUCAGGAAGAACACCGAUGGCGAAGGCAGGUCUCUGGGCAACUACUGACGCUGAGGAGCGAAAGCGUGGGGAGCAAACAGG